CAAGCCCCUCUUGUAUUAUGUAAUUGCGCUUUGGUGAACCCCUUGAACGGGCGAAAACUCAGCGAACUGUCAUGCGACUUGUCACUGAGCGAACUGUCAAGCGACUUGCUUGUUUAUAAACAUUGAAAGUGUUCUGAUUUUUGCUCCCCCAAAAAUCAAACCGGUCGGGGUAGAAUCCCGAAACACCGGAAAAAUAGAACCUCCGGAAAGCUUCGAUCCCUACAACGGACGGAGUGAACGACGACGGGUACAUUUUCGAUCCGGCGUUCGUAGAGUACGUGAAGGCGCAAACGAACCGGCUAGGAGCGCAUCAUGUGCGACGGAGGGUUCUUCGUGAAUAACAACUCAGGAGAUUAUCUCGAAGCAGCUGUACUUGUAGUGCUACUGGCAUUGGCAGUGAUCCGAGCAGGAGGGAACUUUAAUAUGAAGGUGUUUGACCUGAUCAAAUCCUAUGGAAAGUGCCUAUCGUAAAGCCAGCUUUUAGUCGGCCGGCCAUCUCGGAGCCGACUUCAACGACAACGAUUGAGGAGGCUUCUUUCUUCAAUCGACAAUCCGGAUCAAACGAUCGGUGCAUGGACACUGUGGCGUCACUGAAACUUGUUACAAAAAACGUCUCGCCGACGGAUGGAUUCGUGCGCCAGGCCAGCGUGGAGUUCGGAACGACCGCUGAAUAAGUCCUUCGGAAAAUCAAACGAUUGGUUCUUUAUGCCGGUGGAUGUAACGGCCGAUCAAGGUAAACGUAUUCGGACGGGUUUUCUGAGCAACGGCAAUGUGUUACACCUACUACGAUCAGGACAAAUCCGGUUGGACGCAAAUUAAGAACAUCCAAGUAAUUCUAUCGCCGCGGAGGGUUUUAUACGGGGAAAUUAGAGGAAAGUUCGGCCGAGAUGCCAAAGCCAUGAUCGACCGCUGGCUGGUCCAUCAAAAUGCUUCCUCUUUUCGGCCGGUCCCGGUCCGGCGCAAGACUUAACUUCCGAUGAUGAAACUAGAUGGCUUCUUCAGCAAUGUCUCGAUCCACGAGCUGAUUGACGGCACCAAUGUGCUCGGGAGCAACUUGGAGCGUUUCGACAUGGAAGCUUCGCUGUUCUACAUUCCCCGAGGGCCGUUCUUCGUGCGAAGUGUGCUGACCGGUUCGAAGUGAGUCGAGAAGCAGCUUUGGCAGCCGGAUCCUGUGGGCCUGGAGCAAAACCAGCUACAUCUACUCGUCGGCGCAGCAGUUCGAGGCGCCCAAAGAACCGACACUGCGGUUUACCGGCAAGAUUUCGCGGAUGGUUCUAUACAGAGAAAUUUUUGAAGAAAAUUCUGCCAAAGGUAAGCUACCAUAUACGAUGUAUCUGUAAACAAAUUUCACAUUCUUUUCCCAUAAAAUUGCUCUGUUUCCGUAUCCAGGAUCAAACGCAGAAAAUCGAUCAUGCACAUCUUCGAUGCAGUGCUCUUGGGUGGUCUGGAAGUUCACCGAAGCCUUGAAUCGAGGCCCAUCAAAAUGGUUCCGUUGGCCUGUUCGGCCGGUGCAAAACUUUACUUUUAAUGAUGGAACUAGAUAGCUUAUUCAGCGUGGUAAUCGACAGCGCCAAGGUGCUCGAAAGCGACUUGAAGCAUUUCGAUGGGGCGGAAAUAAAGCUGUUCUACCUUCUCCGAAGGUCGCUCUUCGUGCGGAGUGUGAAGAAGUUCAAAAUGUGCCGAGGAGCAGCUGGAUUUUCAGAAGACUCGGCAGCUGGAUCAUGUGGACCUGGAGCAAAAAGAACCAGAUCUACUCGGCGCUGCCGUUCAAGGCGCCCAAAGAACCGAAACUGGUCUACCGGCAGGAUUUCGAUGCAUUCAUUGAGAAAUGCUCCGAUUUAAAGUGAGUGACGUGAAAUGGCGCUAUGUGUAAAGUAGUUUCGGAAUAAACUACCCAGUUUUAAAUUUAAGUCUCAGUAUGUAUUAUGAUGUUCAAUUUAAUGUUCACAAUAAAAUAUCUUAUCUCUACAGUUAGGCACUCGGCUUGAAAUAAAAGCUAUUGUACUCAAUUAAUAAGUUUAAACUACUAAGGCAGGAGCCAUCUAUAUAUCACGUGAACUAAAGUCUUACAUGAUCCCUCUCUUUACCAAGUGAUCAAGCGCGGAAUUUGGUUUUGCAACAUAACGAUUGAAUCCGCUUUCAAACGUAAAUCCGUAAAUCGUUGGUAUUCAGCAAAAUCAAAUGGAUUGUGAAUUCUAACGAAUCAAAUACCUUUGAUUGAUAUCAUGCAUCACCAUGCAAUUUUGGAGGAUGUGGUGUAUCUAAUAAGAACCUAAACCUCUGAGACAAAUUUAGAUAUUUUUGAUGAGGGUGGUCAGUGUCAAAGACUGAUAAUUUUUGCAUCACUAUGCAAUUUGGGGGAACUUAGUGAACCAGCAAAUCUGUCUAAAACUUUGCAACGAAUUUAAACAUUUUUGGUAAAGGUGGUCAGUAUCAAAGACUGAUGAUUUUUGCAUCACCAUGCAAUCUGGGAGGACUGGGUGAACCAACAAAUCUGUCUAAACCUCUGAGACAAAUUUGAAUAUUUU